rnacentral:rRNA from 1 species
UGAGUACAAGAUGCUACGGCAUUGAAGCAGUCUAUGUCAUACUUCCAAGAAAAGCUUGCAAUGUCAUAAACAAAUAAUGCCUGUACCAUAACCGACACAGGUGGGUAGGUAGAGUAUACUAAGGGGCGCGAGAUAACUCUCUCUAAGGAACUCGGCAAAAUGACUCCGUAACUUCGGGAUAAGGAGUACCUUAUUUUAUAAGGUUGCAAUAACAAGGUCCAAGCAACUGUUUACCAAAAACACAGGUCUCCGCUAAGUCGUAAGACGAUGUAUGGGGGCUGACGCCUGCCCAGUGCCAGAAGGUUAAAGAAGUUGGUUAGCAUUAGCGAAGCUGAUAACUGAAGCCCUGGUGAACGGCGGCCGUAACGAUAACGGUCCUAAGGUAGCGAAAUUCCUUGUCGGGUAAGUUCCGACCCGCACGAAAGGCGUAAUGAUUUGGAUACUGUCUCGAGAGGGGCUCGGUGAAAUAGACUUGUCUGUGAAGAUGCGGACUACCUGCACCUGGACAGAAAGACCCUAUGAAGCUUUACUGUAACUUGAGAUUGAAAUUGGACUUUAUUUGCGCAGUAUAGGUGGGAGACCUCGAAAGUAUUCUUGCGGGAAUAUUGGAGUCAUCAGUGAGAUACCACUCUUAUAAUGUUAGAUUUCUAACUUUGUAUCAUUAUCUGGUCAAAGAACAGUUUCAGGCGGGCAGUUUGACUGGGGCGGUCGCCUCCCAAAUGGUAACGGAGGCGCACAAAGGUUUCCUCUGAACGUGUAGAAAUCGUAUCUAGAGUGUAAAGGCAUAAGGAAGCUUGACUGUGAGACCUACAAGUCGAGCAGGGACGAAAGUCGGUCUUAGUGAUCUGACGGUGCUGAGUGGAAAGGCCGUCACUCAACGGAUAAAAGUUACUCUAGGAUAACAGGCUGAUCUCCCCCAAGAGUUCACAUCGACGGGGAGGUUUGGCACCUCGAUGUCGGCUCAUCGCAUCCUGGGGCGGUAGUACGUCCCAAGGGUUGGGCUGUUCGCCCAUGAAAGCGGUACGCGAGCUGGGUUCAGAACGUCGUGAGACAGUUCGGUCCAUAUCCGGUGUAGGCGUUAGAAUAUUGAGAGGAGCCUUCUUUAGUACGAGAGGACCGAGAAGGACAUACCUCUGGUGUACCAGUUAUCGUGCCAACGGUAAACGCUGGGUAGCUAUGUAUGGAGAGGAUAACCGCUGAAAGCAUCUAAGUGGGAAGCCCACCUCAAGAUAAGUAUUCUC